ACGGUUUGGAUGCAGCAAAGCACCCGGGAUGUUCUGUGGCUGCGGCAGAUGCUGCCUUGAGGCAGGAGGCACUGGAGGUGCCAGAGCUGAGCCGACUCUAACUAAGACGUGAAAGCAAGCAGUCGAUACAUGCCCAUUGCCGAAUGGUUCUGAGGUCUGGAGCAGGACUCAAGGAUUUGCGCUUAAAGCCAGCCUAUUCUGAAAAGACGCUGUUCUGCAGUUGCUCUCACUAAACCCUGUUCCUCGGCGGACAGGGUAGGGUCUGCACGGCACUGACUUGAGCAGAAGGCAAGAGGCAUUUCUUCACUUGGCUGAUGAGCAUGCUGUUUCCAGAUGACCUUGGGAGCCCAGGCAGAUCUGCAGUUGCUGACUGGGAGCUGCAAACGCAGUGUUUGGACAGUCCUGAGCAUCACAGAUGUGCUGAAGAUUGUGUUAGAUGUCGCCCCCAACUCCCUCCUCCCCGCCUCCCAGGACCACUGAGAUCACCUGAAAGGAACACUUGUCUUUUGUCUCGUGCCUUUUUGAGGGCGGCUCAGUGCUUGUCUAACUCCAUGCAGCCCACUGAAAUGU